rnacentral:rRNA from 1 species
UACGAAGGGGGCUAGCGUUGUUCGGAAUCACUGGGCGUAAAGGGUGCGUAGGCGGCUUGAUAAGUCGGGGGUGAAAGCCUGUGGCUCAACCACAGAAUUGCCUUCGAUACUGUCGAGCUUGAGACCGGAAGAGGUAAGUGGAACUGCGAGUGUAGAGGUGAAAUUCGUAGAUAUUCGCAAGAACACCAGUGGCGAAGGCGGCUUACUGGUCCGGUUCUGACGCUGAGGCGCGAAAGCGUGGGGAGCAAACAGG